rnacentral:tRNA from 1 species
GAGGGUAUAGCUCAGUGGUAGAGUGCAUGCUUAGCAUGUGCAAGGUCCUGGGUUCAAACCCCAGUACCUCCA